rnacentral:rRNA from 2 species
GUGCGAGACCGAUAGCGAACAAGUACCGUGAGGGAAAGAUGAAAAGAACUUUGAAAAGAGAGUUAAAGAGUACCUGAAACUGCUGAAAGGGAAUCGAAUCGUAUCCAGUGUCUAUAAUCUGCGGCAUAUUUCAUUGGCGUGUUGAUGCGUGCGGCGUUUUGGAAGUGGUGUAUGCCUCUCCUAAUGCUGUUGUGCGUUUGCUCGCUGGUGCCCUGUGUCGCAGUGGGACGUCAGAGUCAGUUCGUAUGCUGCGGGAAAUGGCUGCUGAGGAGGUAGGUCGCUUUUGUGGCUGUUAUAUCUUGGCAUGCUAGUUGUCGUGGUUGGGACUGAGGUGCCUAC